AGAGUUUGAUCCUGGCUCAGAUUGAACGCUGGCGGCUGGCCUAACACAUGCAAGUCGAGCGAGAAAGGUCUUCGGACUGAGUACAGCGGCGGACGGGCGAGUAACGCGUGGGAAUCUACCCAGUAGCGGGGGAUAGCCCGGGGAAACUCGGAUUAAUACCGCAUACGCCCUACGGGGGAAAGCAGGGGAUCUUCGGACCUUGCACUAUUGGAUGAGCCCGCGUCACAUUACCUUGUUGGUGGGGUAACGGCCUACCAAGGCGACGAUCUGUAUCUGGACUGAGAGGAUGAUCAGCCACACUGGGACUGAAACACGGCCCAUACUCCUACGGGAGGCAUAGUGGGGAAUAUUGGACAAUGGGGGCAACCCUGAUACACCCAUGCCGCGUGUGUGAAGAAAGCCUUCGGGUUGUAAAGCACUUUCAGCGAUGAGGAAAGCCUGAUGGCUAAUACCCAUCGGGGCUGACGUUUCUCGUGAAAAAGCACCGGGCUAACUCCGUGCCUUAAUUCGCGGUAAUUGGGAUGUUGCCUGCAGUAAUCGUAUUCCUGGGCGUUACGUAUAGGUAGGCGGAUUGAUAAGCUGGNUGAGCUAGCCCCCGACUCACCCUCCUAAUUGCAAUUCGAAUAUGCCUCGCUUGAGUACUGCAUAGCGGUGUGGAAAUUUCCAUGUGUAGCGGUGAAAUGCGUAGAUAUAGGAAGGAACAUCAGUGGCGAAUGCGACACUCUGGACUGAUACUGACGCUGAGGUGCGAAAGCGUGGGGAGCAAACAGGAUUAGAUACCCUGGUAGUCCACGCCGUAAACGAUGUCUACUAGCCGUUGGGAGCCUUGAGCUCUUAGUGGCGCAGCUAACGCACUAAGUAGACCGCCUGGGGAGUACGGCCGCAAGGUUAAAACUCAAAUGAAUUGACGGGGGCCCGCACAAGCGGUGGAGCAUGUGGUUUAAUUCGACGCAACGCGAAGAACCUUACCUACUCUUGACAUCCUGAGAACUUGGUAGAGAUACCUUGGUGCCUUCGGGAGCUCAGUGACAGGUGCUGCAUGGCUGUCGUCAGCUCGUGUCGUGAGAUGUUGGGUUAAGUCCCGUAACGAGCGCAACCCUUGUCCUUAGUUGCCAGCGAUUCGGUCGGGAACUCUAAGGAGACUGCCGGUGACAAACCGGAGGAAGGUGGGGACGACGUCAAGUCAUCAUGGCCCUUACGAGUAGGGCUACACACGUGCUACAAUGGGCGGUACAAAGGGUUGCCAAUCCGCGAGGUGGAGCUAAUCCCGAAAAACCGUUCGUAGUCCGGAUUGGAGUCUGCAACUCGACUCCAUGAAGUCGGAAUCGCUAGUAAUCGUGAAUCAGAAUGUCACGGUGAAUACGUUCCCGGGCCUUGUACACACCGCCCGUCACACCAUGGGAGUGGGUUGCACCAGAAGUGGCUAGUCUAACUUUGGAGGACGGUCACCACGGUGUGAUUCAUGACUGGGGUGAAGUCGUAACAAGGUAACC
rnacentral:rRNA from 2 species